rnacentral:lncRNA from 1 species
AUGUGGGACGCUGCCUCAGCGUGGUCUGAUGAGCAGUGCCAUGUCCGCGCCCAGGAUUCGAACCAACGAAACACUGGGCCGCCUGCCGCGGAGCGCGCGAACUUAACCACUCGGCCACGGGGCCAGCCCCAAGGAAAAGUUUAUUUUGAAAAUCUUUUCCCAAGAGCAUAUGUUUACAAUGAAGAAAGGAGGAGAGCACGCUCGAUACUCCAGGCUGAUGCACCUAUUCCACAGAAACACAUUUUGGAUGUGCUGCCUGGAGCUGAUGCAACUGCUGUCAAGUUUCCUAUCCUGGAUUUUAUUUCCUUCAGGAUGAGAAAUAGAAGUACAUAA